rnacentral:lncRNA from 7 species
UCCUCCGUCUGUACAACGGGGUUGGUGAGGCUCCCGUGUCACAGAGGGUCUUGGCUGCAUCCACACCGCCGCUGUUGGAAAUGGGUGGCGAUCUUACUGAAGUGCUCAGCAAGCUGAGAAUAUCCCUGUGAUUUGCUUGCUUUCCACCUCCACCUUCCCCCGCUCCGUGCUGCCCACAUUCUUUUUUUGUUAUUAAUUGUUUUAGAUUCAGACAAUGCCUCUCCUUUGGCCCCAGGCAGGCGCACUGGCUGAAUCACUAAAACACUUUAACACACAUCUGCUGAGGCAGCAAAAAUCAGUAUCUCUCACUCUCUCCUUUUUUUUUUUUUCCUUCCUCCUUUUCUCUCCAGUAUCACAGUCAAAAGGUGACUGAGGCACAAAGUAGGACUGGAGUUGGCUGAAAAGUGCUCCCAGCUGAAGGGCAGAAAACACCUGCAUCUAAUAAAAACAAACGAGAAACAUCAUCAAUAACCAGAAGAAAAAAUGGCAUAAAUAAAAGGAAAAGUACAAAUUCAGAUGGUCUCUGGGAAACUCGAACAAAUGCCCCAGCCUGCUGUCUUCUGGAGUUAAGGCCUUGUUGCCAGUGGGUGGAGUGGUGAGAUCUACAUUGCAUCUACUAUGGCUAAGGAGAAGACCAGCAUUUCCAGGACUGUCAACUGAACCUCCUUCACACUACAGACACAACUUUAU